rnacentral:rRNA from 1 species
GGAGCAAACAGGAUUAGAUACCCUGGUAGUCCACGCCGUAAACGAUGUCGACUUGGAGGUUGUGCCCUUGAGGCGUGGCUUCCGGAGCUAACGCGUUAAGUCGACCGCCUGGGGAGUACGGCCGCAAGGUUAAAACUCAAAUGAAUUGACGGGGGCCCGCACAAGCGGUGGAGCAUGUGGUUUAAUUCGAUGCAACGCGAAGAACCUUACCUGGCCUUGACAUCCAGAGAACUUAGCAGAGAUGCUUUGGUGCCUUCGGGAACUCUGAGACAGGUGCUGCAUGGCUGUCGUCAGCUCGUGUUGUGAAAUGUUGGGUUAAGUCCCGCAACGAGCGCAACCCUUAUCCUUUGUUGCCAGCGGUUCGGCCGGGAACUCAAAGGAGACUGCCGGUGAUAAACCGGAGGAAGGUGGGGAUGACGUCAAGUCAUCAUGGCCCUUACGGCCAGGGCUACACACGUGCUACAAUGGCGCAUACAAAGAGAAGCGACCUCGCGAGAGCAAGCGGACCUCAUAAAGUGCGUCGUAGUCCGGAUUGGAGUCUGCAACUCGACUCCAUGAAGUCGGAAUCGCUAGUAAUCGUAGAUCAGAAUGCUACGGUGAAUACGUUCCCGGGCCUUGUACACACCGCCCGUCACACCAUGGGAGUGGGUUGCAAAAGAAGUAGGUAGCUUAACCUUCGGGAGG